AGAGUUUGAUCCUGGCUCAGAUUGAACGCUAGCGGCAUGCUUAACACAUGCAAGUCGAACGGUAACAGGUCUAGCUUGCUAGAUGCUGACGAGUGGCGGACGGGUGAGUAACGCGUAGGAAUCUACCUUGUAGAGGGGAAUAACUUGGGGAAACUCAAGCUAAUACCGCAUAAGCCUGAAAGGGGAAAGCAGGGGACUGU
rnacentral:rRNA from 1 species